rnacentral:rRNA from 1 species
CUACGGGAGGCUCCAGUGGGGAAUAUUGCACAAUGGGGGAAACCCUGAUGCAGCAACGCCGCGUGGAGGAUGACGCAUUUCGGUGUGUAAACUCCUUUUAUAUAGGAAGAUAAUGACGGUACUAUAUGAAUAAGCACCGGCUAACUCCGUGCCAGCAGCCGCGGUAAUAAGGAGGGUGCAAGCGUUACUCGGGAUCACUGGGCGUAAAGCGCGCGCAGGCGGCCUUUUAAGUUGGAUGUGAAAGCCUAUGGCUUAACCAUAGAACUGCAUCCAAAACUAUCAGGCUAGAGUCUGGGAGGGGAAGAUGGAAUUAGUUGUGUAGGGGUAAAAUCCGUAGAGAUAACUAGGAAUACCAAAAGCGAAGGCGAUCUUCUGGAACAGUACUGACGCUGAGGCGCGAAAGCGUGGGGAGCAAACAGGAUUAGAUACCCCAGUAGUC